GACGAACGCUGGCGGCGUGCUUAACACAUGCAAGUCGAACGAUGAAGCUGGAGCUUGCUCCGGCGGAUUAGUGGCGAACGGGUGAGUAACACGUGAGCAAUCUGCCCUUCACUCUGGGAUAACUGCGGGAAACUGUAGCUAAUACCGGAUACGAAGCCUUGGGGCAUCCCAGGGCUUGGAAAGAAUUUCGGUGAAGGAUGAGCUCGCGGCCUAUCAGCUAGUUGGUGAGGUAAUGGCUCACCAAGGCGACGACGGGUAGCCGGCCUGAGAGGGUGACCGGCCACACUGGGACUGAGACACGGCCCAGACUCCUACGGGAGGCAGCAGUGGGGAAUAUUGCACAAUGGGCGCAAGCCUGAUGCAGCAACGCCGCGUGAGGGAUGUCGGCCUUCGGGUUGUAAACCUCUUUUAGUAGGGAAGAAGCGAAAGUGACGGUACCUGCAGAAAAAGCACCGGCUAACUACGUGCCAGCAGCCGCGGUAA
rnacentral:rRNA from 1 species